AUUGAACGCUGGCGGCAGGCCUAACACAUGCAAGUCGAGCGACCGGCGGACGGGUGAGUAAUGUCUGGCAACCUGCCUGAUGGAGGGGGAUAACUACUGGAAACGGUAGCUAAUACCGCAUACCAUCAGAUGUGCCUAGAUGGGAUUAGCUAGUGGGUGGGGAAACGGCUCACCUAGGCGACGAUCCCUAGCUGGUCUGAGAGGAUGAUCAGCAACACUGGAACUGUGACACGGUCCAUACGCCUACGUGAGGCAGCAGUGGGGAAUAUUGCACAAUGGGCGAAAGCCUGAUGCAGCCAUGCCGCGGGUGUGAAGAAGGUCUUCGGGUUGUAAAGCACUUUAAGCGGGGAGGCGUUACCCGCAGAAUAAGCACCGGCUAACUCCGUGCCAGCAGCCGCGGUAAUUC
rnacentral:rRNA from 1 species